rnacentral:rRNA from 1 species
CAGUAGCCGCGGGAAAACGAAGGGGGCUAGCGUUGUUCGGAAUUACUGGGCGUAAAGCGCACGUAGGCGGAUAUUUAAGUCAGGGGUGAAAUCCCAGAGCUCAACUCUGGAACUGCCUUUGAUACUGGGUAUCUUGAGUAUGGAAGAGGUGAGUGGAAUUCCGAGUGUAGAGGUGAAAUUCGUAGAUAUUCGGAGGAACACCAGUGGCGAAGGCGGCUCACUGGUCCAUUACUGACGCUGAGGUGCGAAAGCGUGGGGAGCAAACAGGAUUAGAUACCCCCGUAGUCCCUGUCUCUUAUAC